UUGCAGGAAACUCGGACCGGUUUACUCUGGAAACACACUGGGUUAAAUUCCCGAUWACCGCACAAUAUCUGAAGUUCAAGCCACAGUCCUGGAAAUCCACUCAUGUUUGUAUGAGAAUCAGAGUGUAUGGCUGCGAUGUAUAGAAAAAUCAGAUGCACAUCAGGAGCCAAUAUGCAUCGUUAAUGAGAAUCAAUAAACUAUUGUAGCCAGAA